GAAAUAGUAAAAAAAAAAAAAUAAUGGGAAGAGGGAGAAGCUCAUCGACUCAUCGUCUUCAUCGAUAGAGAGCAGCUGCAAAAGCAACCCAUUCGGUGUGUCUUCGAGUAAUACUCGGAACCUAAGCACAGACCUAAGGCUCGGGCUCAGUAUAAAAUUAUGACCCAGGUAAAAAUAAUUUCUGGGUCCGCCACUGCUUCGGAUCAUCGUCCGGACAAUACUACAACGGUGGAGAAAACCAUGAAUAUGAUGGAGUGGGUGCGGCAGAGAAAAUGAUGAUCAUGGAAGAAGAAGAUCAAAACGAGUGUAAUAGUGUCGGAAGCUUCUACGUGAAAGUGAACAUGGAAGGAGUUCCUAUUGGAAGAAAGAUCGAUCUUUUAUCUCUUAAUGGAUACCAUGAUUUGAUCACAACUCUUGACUACAUGUUCAAUGCCUCAAUCCUUUGGCUGAAGAAGAAGAGAUGUGUAGUGAGAAGAGUCACGUGCUAACGUACGCAGACAAAGAAGGUGACUGGAUGAUGGUUGGAGAUGUUCCUUGGGAGAUGUUCUUGUCUAGCGUGAGAAGACUAAG